GAGGGUAUUGCUCAAAGGUAGAUCACAUGCCUAGCAUGCUUGAAAUCCUGGGUUCAAUCCCCAGUAAUUCCA
rnacentral:tRNA from 1 species